UUUAUGGAGAGUUUGAUCCUGGCUCAGAGUGAACGCUGGCGGCGUGCCUAAUACAUGCAAGUCGAACGAUGAAGCUUCUAGCUUGCUAGAAGUGGAUUAGUGGCGCACGGGUGAGUAACGCAUAGGUUAUGUGCCUCUUAGUUUGGGAUAGCCAUUGGAAACGAUGAUUAAUACCAGAUACUCCCUACGGGGGAAAGAUUUAUCGCUAAGAGAUCAGCCUAUGUCCUAUCAGCUUGUUGGUAAGGUAAUGGCUUACCAAGGCUAUGACGGGUAUCCGGCCUGAGAGGGUGAACGGACACACUGGAACUGAGACACGGUCCAGACUCCUACGGGAGGCAGCAGUAGGGAAUAUUGCUCAAUGGGGGAAACCCUGAAGCAGCAACGCCGCGUGGAGGAUGAAGGUUUUAGGAUUGUAAACUCCUUUUGUUAGAGAAGAUAAUGACGGUAUCUAACGAAUAAGCACCGGCUAACUCCGUGCCAGCAGCCGCGGUAAUACGGAGGGUGCAAGCGUUACUCGGAAUCACUGGGCGUAAAGAGCGCGUAGGCGGGAUAGUCAGUCAGGUGUGAAAUCCUAUGGCUUAACCAUAGAACUGCAUUUGAAACUACUAUUCUAGAGUGUGGGAGAGGUAGGUGGAAUUCUUGGUGUAGGGGUAAAAUCCGUAGAGAUCAAGAGGAAUACUCAUUGCGAAGGCGACCUGCUGGAACAUUACUGACGCUGAUUGCGCGAAAGCGUGGGGAGCAAACAGGAUUAGAUACCCUGGUAGUCCACGCCCUAAACGAUGGAUGCUAGUUGUUGGAGGGCUUAGUCUCUCCAGUAAUGCAGCUAACGCAUUAAGCAUCCCGCCUGGGGAGUACGGUCGCAAGAUUAAAACUCAAAGGAAUAGACGGGGACCCGCACAAGCGGUGGAGCAUGUGGUUUAAUUCGAAGAUACACGAAGAACCUUACCUAGGCUUGACAUUGAGAGAAUCCGCUAGAAAUAGUGGAGUGUCUAGCUUGCUAGACCUUGAAAACAGGUGCUGCACGGCUGUCGUCAGCUCGUGUCGUGAGAUGUUGGGUUAAGUCCCGCAACGAGCGCAACCCCCUUUCUUAGUUGCUAACAGGUCAUGCUGAGAACUCUAAGGAUACUGCCUCCGUAAGGAGGAGGAAGGUGGGGACGACGUCAAGUCAUCAUGGCCCUUACGCCUAGGGCUACACACGUGCUACAAUGGGGUGCACAAAGAGAAGCAAUACUGCGAAGUGGAGCCAAUCUUCAAAACGCCUCUCAGUUCGGAUUGUAGGCUGCAACUCGCCUGCAUGAAGCUGGAAUCGCUAGUAAUCGCAAAUCAGCCAUGUUGCGGUGAAUACGUUCCCGGGUCUUGUACUCACCGCCCGUCACACCAUGGGAGUUGUGUUUGCCUUAAGUCAGGAUGCUAAACUAGCUACUGCCCACGGCACACACAGCGACUGGGGUGAAGUCGUAACAAGGUAACCGUAGGUGAACCUGCGGUUGGAUCACCUCCUUUCUAGA
rnacentral:rRNA from 1 species